CAGAGUCUUCUCAGAUUGGGGCAAGCCCCAGAAAUAUCUCUUUCUAUAUUCUAAAGCUAAACCCCACUACACAGUACACACACGUACAACAUUAUGUAUAUUGAUAUAUAUAGAUGUGGAGAUGAAAGAGAGGAGAAAGAUGGGGCAUGCAGGCAAGAAAAUGGAUGGGUGAUCUUGUUGACAGAAGAUAGAGAGCACAAAUGAUGAAAUGCUAGUGAAGUGUUUCUUGGAUAUAUAUAUGCAUGUAGAGAUCAGAUCAGAGUCUACAUAUAUACAUACUAAGCAAAUUAAAGUAGUAAAAAGAAAGAGCAUCUCAACUCAUCUGUGCUCUCUGUGCUUCUGUCAGUCAUCACCUUCACACCCAAAUCCCCUCCUAUCCUCCAUCGUACCUUUUAUUUUGCCACACUUUCAUCAUUUCUUUUCCUUGCUAGCUCGGCCUUGGGUUUAGUUAUAUAUUUACUCAUACUUUAUGUUUAAUUUUUUUUUUAGAGUGGCCCAGGAUUUCUAGUGCCAAACAUAGUGACUAAUACCCUCGCUCAAUUGUAGGCACUUCUAUUGGGUGGGACAGCUAGCUUUGAGAUUGUCCGCAUGAACAGCUUAACUGGUCACAUGGGUGAAGUUUGGAAGAAGAAAAGCUAGCCCUUGAGAUUUAAGACUGCUCCAUAUCCAAAGUCAAUGAUCAAACCUUUGACCUUUAAGAAUGGAUGAAUCCCUUUCACUCAAUCACACCUCCCAGAUUCCUUGGGAAAAUGAAUAUUUGAGCUGAAGAUGGCGCACGCAGGCUGCAAUAACACCGCUAAUUGUAUUUUUGGAGUAUGCUUAAUACUCAAUUUAGUUCUCGACUAUAGUAGUUUUACUCGAAUUAGUCUUAAAUAACUUUUUAUACUCAAAUAAGUCCCGGACUUUGAAGAUUUUACUCAAUUAAGUCCUCUGUUAACAAUUCCGUUAGUUGACGGUUAAAAGUAGGGUUAAUUUGGUAAUUUAUCCUCCCUCCUCCCUUUUGGUCAAAUUGCCAUCUUCUCCCUCAUUUUUCCUCCAUCUUCUUUCUGACUGUAAUUAAAAAAAAAAACUCAAAUAGAAAGAGAAUUUGUGAAAAAAUCAGAGAAAGAUAAAUGCAUAGAGAUGGGGGAGAGAGAGAGAGGUGGGUUAGGUUUUGUGGGUGGGAUUUUAUUUUUUGGACUUUGGCUUGUGGUUAUGGUGAUAGAAGUUGCAGGGAAGUUGAUGGAAAGGAGAUUGGGGAGGAAUGCAAAGUUCAAAAUGGUGGCAAAGAAGAGCGAAGAAGAAGAAAGUGGUAAAGAGAAAGAGGACAGAGCCUACCAUUGAUGAGCUCGUUGAACUUCUGGCCUGAAAACUCACUUGCACGACUACACAAAAAAAAAAAAGGAGCUUCAUCCGUCUCAAAGAGAUUCAUUCUCUAUUUAUCACAUGUGGCCUCUGUCACCAGAAUUCAUGGCUCAGGAAACUACUCAACCACUGUAUAUUCCUGCAUGCCUUCCCCGGCCUCUUCCUAUGUGUUUGCUCUCUUCACUCGGAUCUAAGAACCUAAUGUAGUAAUGCACAUUUGUGAAACACCAUGAUCAAAGGCUAUUCAAUGAUGACUUCAUUCUUUUUCAAAA